rnacentral:lncRNA from 1 species
AUGAGUGCCUGGCCCUCUCCUCUGCUUUGGAGCUUCACCACGGCGUGUUUAACAGGUAUUGCUUUAGGCCAGACAACCACUACCUGGCCCCCUGUUGCAUCAACACCAGUGCCUCCUAGUGCAGCCACCACCCAGGUCCCUGUUGCAUCAACCCCAGCACCUCCCAGUACAAUCACCACCCAGGUCCCCAUUGCAUCAACCCCAGUGCCUCCCAGUGCAGCCAGUACUGCGGCCUCUACGCCUCAAACUGCCUCUACAGUGCUCUCGGCUGGAGUGACAUCAACCACUGCAAACCUUGUUGUGUCCACGGCAGUGCCUUCUGCUGAUCCAAGCACAAACGAGUCAGCUCAGACUCUGCCCACCACCACAGAUAUGACCGUCCUCACCUCUGGCAGCAUGGCCACCUCUCAAGUGUCUACAGGACUAAUGACCACGUCCACCAGCACCCCAGCAUCCCCUCCAGGUGUGACCACAACUCCUGGGGUCCCAUCAGCAGUUCCGUUCCUCACCACCACGAGGCCCUCAAACUGCAGCCGAGUGAACGUGACAUCCUGUGCCAGCUGCUCCCCAGGGACAUUUCCCAAUGAAGGCACCUUGAGCUGCUCGUGCUGUGCUGGGGGCUCGUGCACAGACCCUGGUGCCUGCACCUCCUGCCCGCUGGGCCACUACCAGCCCGAAAGUGGGCAACUGUCAUGCCUGCCUUGUCCACAGGGACAUUAUGCCAACUUCACAAGGAGCACCGCAUGCCUUCCCUGCCCACCCGGUAAUUACGCUAAUGAGUCUGGGGCUGCAGCCUGCAGAGCAUGUGAGAAAGGGUAUUUUAGCUCCAAGCAAAAUGCAUCUUUUUGUCUGCCUUGCCCGUCUGGAUCAUUUUGCAAGUAAGAAGUCCUCGUGUGACCUUGGCUGUCAGGGGGUGAGGGAGGCAGGGAGGGUUGGUUUAUUUCUGGUAGCAACCACUGAGAUAAAAGACCCAAUGUAGUGG